UGGGUAACCUGCCUCAAAGAGGGGAAUAGCCUCCCGAAAGGGAGAUUAAUACCGCAUAAUAUGUUUAGGUCGCAUGACUUUAACAUCAAAGGAUUUUUCUUUUAGAAAUUCCACUUUGAGAUGGACCCGCGGCGCAUUAGCUAGUUGGUGAGGUAACGGCUCACCAAGGCAACGAUGCGUAGCCGACCUGAGAGGGUGAUCGGCCACAUUGGAACUGAGACACGGUCCAGACUCCGUAGGGAGG
rnacentral:rRNA from 1 species